rnacentral:lncRNA from 1 species
AUGUCGUCCUUUUCGUCCCCCUACCCGUCUCUGAAGCCUGCGUGGUCCCUGCCAUCUGACCUCUGGCUCCUCAGAGAGCUUUCUUCAGACUCCAAAGCCAGUACUUUAAUUCUCUCAUCCUCCCCCACUGAGGUCCUAGUGCAGGGCCGAGGGGCUGCUGACCGGUUCCGUAAGAUGGCCAGAAUCCUAGCGCACAUCUGCGGGUUGACCCUGAGCUUGAAAAGAUAUAUUGGAAAUAGCCCAGCAGUACAGUGGGUGGCCUUCCAUUUGAAGAUACAAAAUAGAAUAAGAAAUGGAAUGUUAUUAAACAUCUUCACUGAAGCUAAAAUGAAUCUGACCAAGGAUUCUGCCAUACUUAAGAGUCUGUUAUCUGUUUGCCCACAUCGAAGAAGUGUAGAAGAUUUCAGACAAAUUCAAGAACAUUUAAAGAAGAACAUCUCAUUUCAGCAUUUGCCAAAUGAAGUCCAACUCCAACGUUGCCAAAUUGUAAUCUAUCAUGAGUACGAAGCUAAAAGUGUAAUUAUAAAGAAAGGACGCUGGCCAAUGGAAUGCUACUUUGUGCUUUCUGGAAAAUUAGCAGCUGUAUCAAGUUUAACAGCUGAAAAUUCCAACUCAGAAAUUAUAAGUGAAUUUGAAGAAGGAGACUUUGUAGGGGAAACUUGUCUGUUAACUAACACCCGCCGACCUACUACAAUUGUAUGCAAAUCAGAUGCAGAACUUCUGGUGAUAAGUAAGAAGAAAUUCUAAGACCAGCUUAGUUCCUGAUAACCUACCCCAAGCAGUGAGACAAGAUGGUGAAGCUCCGUUUAUUCAAGGUACAGGACAGCAUUUUAUAUCUUUGACUCAUGGGAACAUACCCCAAUGUAACAGCGGACAAAGCAACAAAGUUUACAUAUCUUUACCAAUAGGCAACACUGAGAAUUUUUCUCAUGCAAAUACCAAUCAAAGUAUCAACAAGCACAUUUCUUUGCAACAUUAUCGUGACUGUGUCCUUCUCCCGCGCUGUUCCCGUAAAGACACCAUGUACUUCUUGUUCCCAGAAUGUUCCCAUUACUUGAUAUGUGAGCUAGCAAUACUUGAUACAUAAGCUAGCAAUACUUGAUACAUAUUUGUGCUAGAGCUGACUGUGCUUGAGCUAGCAACAUUGUUUUAUAGUUUGAACUCGCCUAGCGUCAGAGUUUUGCUGACUGGGAGGUGCAAGGUCCGUGGACAGAGAACCGAGCCAGGACAUUCUGCUCAUGUACUAACACCCGAGAGGGGCCUUCGCCCAUCAGUGAAGUCUCAUGAACAGCCUGCGGACCUCAACGUCCUACAGAUCCCUAACAAUUCCCCUUUUUUGUUUUCAGUAUAUGCACAUCAGUAUAUAUAUUGUUUAACAGCGUGGUUAUACAUUUAAGUAAGCACGGGGUACAACAAAGCAAGAUAAGUACAAAAAGAAUAAUAGGAAUUACUACAGUCACAAUGGACAUGAUUAUAUGAGCCAUAUUGGAAAAGGCAGUUUUGAUCUUACCUAUCCAAUCUAUAAUAUGUUGUGCUGUUUUGUCCGGCAUUAGAUCCCUGUCGGCCGCAUGUGAAAUUUCUUGAGCCAAAUGGUAUAAGUCAUCGAUGUCCAAGGACAAUGUAGAAUUUUCAAACAAUCCAUUCAAAUGUCUACGUAUCCUCAUUCAGUCCCAUAGAGAUGAAUUAUACACAACAUUGGUAAGACACACAAAUUGAAACCCAUAAUCACAUUGUAAAUGAGUACGAUACUCAAGAAUAUCCAGUUCAUCACCUAUUUCAAUUAUUGUUUCUUUCAUACCCUCUAAGAUGUGAUAAAAUUCAGUAUCAAUACGUUUUUGUGUAGCAAAGCCUAUAGACAUAUUUUUUGCAAGUUCAUUCAAAAAUUCAACUUGAACAAUUUCAUUUUGAACAGUGGAAAUUGACAGUGCUAUAGAGACAGUAGAAGAAAUUAAAGCUAUGAAUGAAACAAUGCCCAAAACAACACAAGAGAUACACCUCUUUUCUUCUUAAACUAAUCACUUUUGUGUUCUAUAAUACCAAAAAUAUGAUCAGCCCUAGUAUGAUACCAUUCUUUGCUUUUCACAGGUAUAAGAGCAAAUUUCUGUUGUGUUAUGACAAAUAUCAAUUGAUCAUUUAUCUUCGACCCUAUGCAUUCUGACACACUACAAUUCAUACAAGUAAUAUUACAUUCACUGGAGUCCAAUUUUGUGAUAGUGAUGUUAUUUUCUUUUCCUCACAUGAAUGCGAAUUGUCCCAUUAAAUAAGCCUGAGCAUAGGAGACAUCGGAAAACGAUGCCGAUUCCUGUCUCUUCCAUGCUGAAGUUAAAUUGAUAGGCCCAAGUGCUGCCCAUGCCUUCCACAAUUGAUCUUCAACUUUACCAUUAGGCAAAACCCAAGCAGGUUUAGGAUAUCCCCCAAAGGCUGGGGAGUAGGUGUGACUGUCAUUAAUGUCUUUAGUAUAAUUAUGCCAGGAUUGUAAAGUUGUGCCAUUGAUGUUGAUACAAUGUCUUUCAGCAGUAACACAGUCCAACCAGGCUGGGUAUUCCUCCUUGUCUGGCCACAUAGCCAAAUAACAAGGAGAAUAUUUGGUAGGCCUCAUUAUCGGUGUGGAAUCGUCACACCGCUGUUCUUCGAUACCCAACAUCGUGAUGUUGAAAUGUUGAAAGUGCAUGAUAGAUUUUGUUGGCCCUGUCUCAUUAAAUUGAGUACCUUCAAAUCUAAAUGUAAGAUUCUUUAAUUGUACACAAAUAUUUUGAGUGUUAUUUGUCUUUGUGACACACAGUGGUGGAGCUAAAGCUAAUCCUGUAAAAUUAAACUUUAUUGUGGGUUUUGAAUUAUUGCCUGUUGAAACAAAAUUAAACUCUUUACCUAAUCCCUGUGAAGCAUUGCCUUGUAAUAUCACUUCUGGGAGAGUUUCUUCCCACAUAACUACCCUGGGCCAAGGUGGUUUUGUCACAAAAGCCCAUCUAGUUGUAUUCCCUUCAGCUACAGUUUGUGUUAUCUGCAAACCUAAUAUGAGUGUUGUCAGUAUUGUGUAAGUGACUGUGGACAACUUGUUUCUUUCAUCCUUUCUCCUACUGCUCCUCCGCCUCCGUCAUUUGGCCAUCCUUGUUUUCUUCUUGUUUUCUUGUUCUGAAUGUAUAAGUCUGACAUCUUUACUUCUAACCCAGAUUUCUCCUUCAUCUGUGGAAAUAAGAACAAACCCUUGUCCCAUCAUUAGUACCCUACCGGGUCCCUUCCAUAUACCAUCAAUGUCUUUCCACAUAGCUAACAUUCCAGAUUCAUGUAUAACUCUAGUAGUUUUAGUGGAAUUGUGAUGAGAAUCACUUGGGAUGAAAUACUUCAUAACCGGAGUGAGGUGUGUGUCACUGAAUUUAAAAUAAUUUAUUGUAUAAAUGCCUUGAUUCAAUCUGUGCCAAGGGGUCAACCCAGCUCCCCCUUUUUGUUUUUGCAACACCUCCUUUAUGGUAUGAUUGGCACGUUCCACAAUGGCUUGACCACGAGGAUUAUAGGGAAGGCCAGUGGUGUGAGAUAUGCCAAACUCACAACAAAAUUUCUUAAACCCUUGGGAAAUGUAAGCAGGGCCAUUAUCUGUUUUUAAACCAUGAGGGGCUCCAGCAAAAGAAAAGCAGUGAAGUAAGUGUGCAAUGACAUGUUUAACAGCCUCUGCAGACUGCGGAGUGGCAAAAAUAAAGCCAGAAUACGUAUCA